rnacentral:rRNA from 1 species
CCUACGGGGUGCAGCAGUGAGGAAUAUUGGUCAAUGGUCGGGAGACUGAACCAGCCAAGCCGCGUGAGGGAGGAAGGUACAGAGUAUCGUAAACCUCUUUUGUCAGGGAACAAAGUCUGGGACGCGUCCUCUGAUGAGUGUACCUGAAGAAUAAGCAUCGGCUAACUCCGUGCCAGCAGCCGCGGUAAUACGGAGGAUGCGAGCGUUAUCCGGAUUUAUUGGGUUUAAGGGGUGCGCAGGCGGUCUGUUAAGUCGGCGGUAAAAGCCCGGGGCUCAACCCGGGCCCGCCGUUGAAACUGGCAGGCUCGAGUGGGAGGGAAGUAUGCGGAAUGCGCGGUGUAGCGGUGAAAUGCAUAGAUAUCGCGCAGAACUCCGAUUGCGAAGGCAGCAUGCCGGAUCCACACUGACGCUGAGGCACGAAAGCGUGGGUAUCGAACAGGAUUAGAUACCCCAGUAGUC